rnacentral:tRNA from 1 species
GCGCGCGUGGCGAAAUUGGCAUCGGCACCGGGCUCAAAACUCGGCGAGUCUCGACUCUUGCAAUUUCGACCUCUGCCCUGCGCA